AUGCAUCACCUCCUCAUCGGAUGUCCAUUCUCGUGUGGCAUCUGGCAUGGCAUUCUCUCCGCCUACAGGCUGAUGACGAUGGCGCCGAUUGGCGACGAGGACUUCCUGGAGUGGUGGGCGUCCUCCAUGGCAUCGGCCCCCUCCAUUCUACGGAAAGGCCUUGCCUCCCUCGUCAUCCUCAUCGCCUGGAGCAUUUGGAAGCAUCACAACGCAUGUACCUUUGAUGGCGAGCACCCAUCCAUCUCGUGACUCACUUAGCUUAUCCGCGACGAGGCUCACACAUGGGCCUCCACGGGCGCCAGGGGCCUAGCGGCUAUUAUUCCCGCGAGAAAUCCAUAA
rnacentral:rRNA from 1 species